rnacentral:lncRNA from 10 species
CCGCGCCCCCCGGCGGGCGGAGCCCGGCGCCGCGGCCAGGAUUUCCCACCUCGCUCCCGCGACUCCGCUGCGGGGGUACUUAACCGAAACUAGCAAUCCCAGGCGGUACAAGGCCCUCCAUCGUAGGCAAAGCACUACCUGAAUGUAGAUUUGGGCCAUACGUUGGAAAAUAAGACAUGAGAGUAUGCUCCGAUCAACUUUUACUGUUCACUGGACAACUAUUUUGGGAAUUUGCAGACCUAUAAAGCCCAUCUAUAAAUCUCAAGCAUGUCCACUUUCAGAGAAGAGAAAUGCUGACAACCAUUUAGUCUCUGAGGACAACACUUUUAAAGUGUAACAAUGUGGCAUCCAGAGCUUAUCCAGAUGAGCGGAGAGCAAAUGAAUUUCCUUCUGCUCCCCUGUUGAAGAGGAGAGAAAAAUUCUUCAAGCUGACUCCAUCAUAGGACUGGAGAGAGAUUGGAUGUCAGAGUGAUUGAUGUGCUCCUACUGGAAGAAGGCAAACAUCCAUAUGUGAACUGCCUGUGGGGUUUCCAAGGAAAGGAACGGCAGGCAGCCUCUAUGAGCUUAAAGAAGAUAACUGGGACUUUAGUCCUAUAACCUCAAGGAACAGUAUUCUGUGAACCAUCUGAGAAGCUUGGAAGAGGACCCCAAACUCCAAAUAAGAAGCUCAGUGUGUCUGACACCUUGACUGCAGGCUUGGGAGGUCCUGAGCAGAAGAUCCAGUUCAACAGUGCCUGGACUCCUGAUCCACAAAAACUGAUAACAAAUAUUUAUUGUUUUAAGAUGCUAAGUUUGUAGUCAUUUUUUAUACAGCAACAGAAAACUAAACACACACAUAAACAGUUAUAAGUGCUCACUGUAUAUGAGGCUUUUCAUUAAUAAUCUAUAUUUUAUAAUAGAAUUAGAAUAUAGAUCUGUGAAGCUGAAGACACUCAAUCCUUGCUAGAUUUAAAUCAGGAAAAUCAGCUGAGAAUCAUUCCUUGAUAGAACCUGGAAAACAAGACCCUAUGAGAGACCCUGGGAAUUACAUUAAAUUCACUGUGGUUCCCAGUGUCACUGAAGAGGUUUUCCUUUCAUAGUCAGGUAGUCACCAUACUGUUAAGCAUUUGAACACAUGGGCAACUUCCAGAAUAGUUAUGACAUUGAUAUACCAAUCUCCAAAAUUCCUAGAAUACCAUGUUUUCAUGGUUGACCUUCAAAUCAGUCAGUUCUUUGUAACAUUGAGCCAUAAAGAUAGGGCAAAUACUUAAUGUUUUACAUAUAUUCAGAGAUUGACCCUCAAAAUACAGCCCAGAGAAACUCAAAAGAAUUAACUCUAUUUCUUCAAAUUGUGUGACGCCACCAAGGCCAGAUGACUUCAGCAUUGGGAAGGCAAUAUCCAGCUGUCAUCUUCUUGAUCCUCAUAUGCUACUACUAGCAUCUAGCAUUUACUGAGCAGAUAGUUUUAUUGUCCAGUUUUUAAAGAUAAGAAAAUUGAGGUAUUAGGAAAGUUAAGUUGGUUGCCUAGGGAAACACGAAGAUAUAGCCCAGAUUCACUCCCAGGCAGGCAGAUGCCAGUGUCUGCUCUCUUUACCACCGAAAUAUCCUGCUACAUGUACAAUUUCAAUAAAUAUCUGGACUUACUGGAACAAAACAAAUCAACAACAUUCUUAUUUUCUUUCUUCAGUUUAGAUUAAAUAAUUUAAAUGUCUUCUUAAGAAGCUACAGUUUUUUGAGGCACAGAGGGAUAGGAGGGUAGGUCCUACCAGUUGAGUCACUCAGCCCUAUAGUUG